rnacentral:rRNA from 1 species
AUUGAACGCUGGCGGAAUGCUUUACACAUGCAAGUCGAGCGGCAGCACGGGGGCAACCCUGGUGGCGAGCGGCGAACGGGUGAGUAAUACAUCGGAACAUGCCCAGUCGUGGGGGAUAACACUUCGAAAGAAGUGCUAAUACCGCAUACGUCCUGAGGGGGAAAGCGGGGGAUCGCAAGACCUCGCGCGAUUGGAGUGGCCGAUGUCAGAUUAGCUAGUUGGUGGGGUAAAGGCCUACCAAGGCAACGAUCUGUAGCUGGUCUGAGAGGAUGAUCAGCCACACUGGGGCUGAGACACGGCCCAGACUCCUACGGGAGGCAGCAGUGGGGAAUUUUGGACAAUGGGGGCAACCCUGAUCCAGCCAUUCCGCGUGAGCGAAGAAGGCCUUCGGGUUGUAAAGCUCUUUCGGCAGGAACGAAACGGUGAGCUCUAACAUAGCUUGCUAAUGACGGUACCUGAAGAAGAAGCACCGGCUAACUACGUG